rnacentral:rRNA from 1 species
AGAGCGAACGCUGGCGGCAGGCUUAACACAUGCAAGUCGAGCGGGCGUAGCAAUACGUCAGCGGCAGACGGGUGAGUAACGCGUGGGAACAUACCUUUUGGUUCGGAACAACCCAGGGAAACUUGGGCUAAAUACCGGAUAAGCCCUUACGGGGAAAGAUUUAUCGCCGAAAGAUUGGCCCGCGUCUGAUUAGCUAGUUGGUGAGGUAACGGCUCACCAAGGCGACGAUCAGUAGCUGGUCUGAGAGGAUGAUCAGCCACAUUGGGACUGAGACACGGCCCAAACUCCUACGGGAGGCAGCAGUGGGGAAUAUUGGACAAUGGGCGCAAGCCUGAUCCAGCCAUGCCGCGUGAGUGAUGAAGGCCCUAGGGUUGUAAAGCUCUUUGUGCGGGAAGAUAAUGACGGUACCGCAAGAAUAAGCCCGGCUAACUCGCGCCAGCAGCCGC